rnacentral:lncRNA from 1 species
CCAGUGAGACCACCAAAAAACAUGUAACUGCUGGGAGAUAGCACUGCAAGGACCACUCAGGGCUUCAGCAGCACGCGAUGACCUCACCCCUGUUCUCUUGGACCUCUCGUGGAAGAGCAGAAUGGCUGAGAGGAGGUUGAGGAAAACCAGCCACUUCCCUGUGUGUGCAGCCACUGUCUGGAGCAUCAGAGAACAGCAGAUGGGAUGGGGAGGUGAGCCAAGGAGCUGCUGAGCCUGGGGAGGUGUUACACAGCUCGUCGAGCGAGACGUGCCUGGCCAGGAUCUCCCAGGACAUGUGUCCCACCACCAAAGCAGUGGGGAUAUAAAUCCUUGCACGGACUGGACAGCAAGAUGUCUGAACACAUGGAAAAGGAGCAUCAGCCCCUGGUCUGGGGUUGUUGAUAAUGGCUAGAAACGCUCAUUUUAGAAAAUGAGGAAGCAUUUACAGCCUGCUUCCAUCUCUCUCACCCUGGCAGACUCGAAGGUGCUUUGUCAAGGCCACGGUUUGGAAAGUGUUAAGCAAGUUUGGCCAAGGCCCAUAGAUGCUCCUGUAACACAAGGCAGGAAGAGCAGCAACAUUUAAUGGGAUUCUCCCUCAGGAAUGAUGGAGGAAGAGAGAACUUUUCUGGAGCUAAACACUGCCAUAGUCUGUAUUACUACAAAACUAAACUUAAGGGUGAAUAUGCAAUUAGGAAGAUCUGAGCCUUGCCACAAAACUCGUGUAGCCCUGGCACUUGAGAUGCAGGGCCAGCUUGUCCAACUCCCAGACAAAGAGCUGUUGUUCAAAAUACACGGAGGGAACCUGGAUCUCCACAUGGAACGUCUGCUGCAGUGUGUGAGUCAUCCUGGAUGAAAAAGUUGUCUUUACUCUUUUAAUGGCUGUUCUGGUUCUUUUCCUUCUAAUUACUUGCCAGCACCAGAGUGUGUUGUUCUUGCACAGUCAUCACUGCAGAUUCUUCGGAGACCCCAAACCAGCUGAAUAAAAGCUCCUAAGCCUAACA